GGAGAGAUGCCCGAGAGGCCGAAGGGAUCAUAUUGCUAAUGUGACGUACGUAUUGCACGUACCGAGGGUUCGAAUCCCUCUCUCUCCG
rnacentral:tRNA from 1 species